CGAGGACGACGCUGGCGGCGUGCCUAACACAUGCAAGUCGAACCGAGGUCCAUCCUUCGGGAGAAGACCUAGUGGCGAACGGGUGAGUAACACGUGAAGAACCUGCCCCGAAGACCGGGAUAACCCUCCGAAAGGAGAGCUAAUACCGGAUACCCCCACCGAACCGCAUGGUUUGGUGAGGAAAUGGAUUCCGCUUCGGGAGGGCUUCGCGGCCUAUCAGCUAGUUGGUGGGGUAACGGCCCACCAAGGCAUCGACGGGUAGCUGGUCUGAGAGGACGAUCAGCCACACUGGGACUGAGACACGGCCCAGACUCCUACGGGAGGCAGCAGUGGGGAAUCUUGCGCAAUGGGCGAAAGCCUGACGCAGCAACGCCGCGUGGGGAUGAAGGCUCUCGGGUUGUAAACCCCUUUCAGCAGGGACGAAUCAAGACGGUACCUGCAGAAGAAGCCCCGGCUAACUACGUG
rnacentral:rRNA from 1 species